rnacentral:ncRNA from 2 species
GGCGAACGACAGGGGAGCGUCGGACCCGCACGGGUCUGGACGCUGAGAGUGCGGACCACCGCAGACCCUCGAACCUGAUCCGGUUGGUACCGGCGUAGGGAGUCGGGCUUCUCAGUCC